rnacentral:rRNA from 1 species
UACGAAGGGGGCUAGCGUUGUUCGGAAUUACUGGGCGUAAAGCGCGCGCAGGCGGCUAUCCAAGUCAGUGGUGAAAGCCCGGAGCUCAACUCCGGAACUGCCAUUGAAACUGUUUAGCUUGAGGACGAGAGAGGUGAGUGGAAUUCCCAGUGUAGAGGUGAAAUUCGUAGAUAUCGGGAGGAACACCUGUGGCGAAAGCGGCGCACUGGACCACAACUGACGCUGAGGCGCGAAAGCUAGGGGAGCAAACAGG